rnacentral:rRNA from 1 species
GUCAUCGGUUUUUCCAGCCAGCAGCAUUUGGCCGACUGCGCCGCACGAAGGGAGAAAGGAAGGGGGCAGGAAAACAGGGGGCGGCGCGGCGGAACGGAGAGCGGAGGAGAAAGAGAGGAAGCAGUCUCAGUUCUCGAUCUCCGAGGUUGGUGCCGGUGGCUAGGGCUGGAAGCCGGCGGCAGAGGCAGAUCUGAUCCGCGGGUGGCGGUGCAGAGGCGAGACUCCCCGGAGCUUCGGCCGGACCGGCCAUCCGAUUCCGCGGCCCGCCUCUGCGAUGGUCUCUGGCUGCUGCUGCUGACUGGAGUGAUGAAUUCGAGGCCGAUCGUGCUCGUCUUCCUCCUGCUCGUGCUCAUCAUAUCAUCGCAGUUCGAGUGGAAGCAGCAGAUCGGUGAGGCCGAGGCGAGUCCCGAAGCUACGCGGCGGAGGCAGCAACCGCUGGUCGUAAGGGAAGAUGCCGUUAAAGAGAAAAUAAUACUGGCGCAGGAGAAGAACAUCCAGCAGCUCACCGAGCUCAUCCAGAGCCUCCAGGUUCAGCUGCUGCAUUGUCGUGGCAGCAACAGCACUGCUCAUGGCGCCUCCUCGAAUCAGUCUUCAGCCAGUUACGCCGAAGCGGACAGGCAUCAGAUAAUCGAUGACUGA